UCCAACACAUCAAUCACAUCUUAUAUCGAGUCCUCUUCUCCGCCUCCUGUCGAAAAUGAGCUCCCCGAUCCGCCGCCUCCGGAGUGCUCCGCCAAUCCGCAGCCUUCGGCAGGCGCUGUUGUCGAUAAAAAGCAGCGGCUUUUCGACCUGAUGGGCGACGCCCUCGCAGAGCGCUUCGUCAUGGGAGGGUCGCGGUGGUCCAAGCCCUGGAGGCCAAGAUGGGCGCCCCCCGGACGCACCCCAACCCUAGGGUCUGCAUCUCUUCUGCCUCCUCCCGCAUCGACGGCUACCGUGCCCCCUCCGGCGACCUCGCUGCCCUCCAGCGCAGACAACAGCGUGGCGGAUGCCACCAAGAGCCGGAGGAAGCUGCGGAGGACUUGGAUUCGUCGGCGUGUUCAAGGACCGAUGUGACCCGGGCUGGAAAUCAGAGAAGCUCAUCCUUAGAAAGGGAGCUACGUGGAAAGUCCGGGGCAAAAAGGUGAGGACUCUGAGCAGAAAGAAGACGAAACUGGAUCUUGUGGCAAAAUUGGUGAACGAGAAAGAGAAGGAACAGCCUCUCGCUGAUCCAAAAGACCUCGCAGAGGACGAGCUUUUAGCAUCGCUUGUUGAAUUGUGCUUUCAAUUCUCUCGGUGAGUUUAGGCUGUUGACGAGAGGGAUGCUUCUGAAAAGAAAGGUGAUCGGUUUCCAAUCUCCAUGAGAAGGCAAGUCUGCUUGGGUCGGUCCAACUUGUGCAUAAACUUUCGAGAUCACCACACUCGCAAACAUCUAGAGACUCUGCUUUCCAUCUAAGUGUAGCUGAAAAAAUGGUGUAUCCUGCCCUAAAGUUUCAACAAAAGGAAGAUUCGACUACAAAAAAUCGGAAGCAGUUUGCGAUCAUUCAAUCGGGAAAAGGUGCCUUCUCCAAAUGUUUGUUACUGAGAUGCUGACUGCUCUUUGCAGGACACGGAUAACCUCCUUCGGUUGGCUCUUAUUUUUCGGUCACGAUUGUGGUCUAGGACAAGGAUAUCUGCUUAUUUUCUGGUCGCGAUCUAGGACAAGGAUAUCCGCUCCUAGAUGCUUGCAAAUGAAUCAAGAAUGGUCUCAUUUUUCGGUCGCGAUUGUGGUAAUCUUUUACGAUUUCCUUGUCACAAAAGUCGACAAAAUCUUGAAAGCUAAGAUGAUUUAUGCUCGUUUCAGGAAAAUUUGCCUAAAUAAACCCAUAUUCAGUGUCGGAAAUACUAGGUUUGAUCGUCUCCUUUUGCUGCAGUCCAUGCUGUUCCACAUCUUACAUUGCUUCUUUUCCAGAUGGUUGCGGCUUCCAACCUCAUUGGACCAGUAUCUUUUCUCAGCACUGGUCUACGAUUGCAGGAGGACCCCAUGGAUCCAUCGCUUGCCGGUGUUACUUUCUACAUUAUUAGUCUUCCUUUGUCUACACUUUUGAGAUGUUACUUUCUACAUUAUUAUUCUUCCUUUGUUUACGCUUUUGAGACUAAACAUAGCUUCGGAAAAGAAACCGGUGGAAAGCAUAUGAGAUGUUGAUCGUCACAGCUUGGCAGAGACCAAGGCGACUCCAACGCCAAUGGUGGAUAGAGCAUUAGGAAAAGAGAUAUUACUCGAGAGAGUAUCUUUAAAGUAGUGAUUCUCCAGCUUUCUUUGUUGAGGAUUGUUCUCCACCACACAGCAUGUUUGUGUGUGGGGUGAAGCGGAGGAAAAAGCUUUGUCGUGACAAUCUGUUCUCUCUAUCAGGUUUCUUCUGAUGACAAUACAAUUCGAAUGCUCUGCUAAUUCUUCUCUUUAUCUCGUCUUAGGUAAAACAUAUCUUAUAGCAGUGAAGACAGGAUUCGAAUUCCAAAUCUUACCAUAAGCUAUGUCACAGAUGUCCAAGAAAAGCUCUCUCUCUCUCUCUCAAGGCAUGGCCUCCUGGUCCUUAGCCACCGAUGACCGGACGAGCGAAGCCCUGCAGAGCGGGCAGUUCGCCUGCGCCCGUAACCAUUCAUCAACGCACUCCGGAUGGAAGCCGUGGUCGCAACCCGGCAACACCUUGAUCUUAUCCCCUUCCAUGAAGCAACUGAGGCAUAUGGAGCACUGCGACGCCUCGUCGCCGGUCCCUGGCGCUCGGUGUAGGUGCACCGGGAAGCUGCCGAUGGUGUCUGGGUCCAGACCGGCCUUACAAGGCGACAUCGCGGCAGAAGGCAGGCUCGCUGAGCCCGUUUCAGCCGCCCACCGGCGGUAGCGACAUGCCCACCAAAGGUACAAGCAGAGGAGGGCCAAGGAUAGGAGAGCGGAGAAGGAGAGGAGGAGGAGGCCGCGGCCGUGGACGUGGAAGUUGUUGUCGUCGAGCAUGUCGUAGUGCCAGCGGAAGGGCUGAGCAUUCUGGGCUUCCAUGCAAGCAGACGGCGAGGCGGCUAUACGAGGGCAGGGAGAGUGGUCCGGGAGGAGAAGCGGUGAGAGCUGCGAACAAAGAGACUUCAGCUCAUACUCUCUCUCUCUCUCUCUCUCCACAUCACGCCCUUUUUCAACACCCUCCUGAAAGCUUAUCUCAUCGAAACGUCACAAGGCAGAACGAAAAGCUCAUCAAUGCGCUGUUGCUGCUACUGCUGCCAUUGUGGUUGGGGUAUGGUUCCUUUCAGGUGUUGCUGCACACAGAAAUAAGAGAGAUGCCGCCUGCGCUGUGCGGAGGAUGGUAAAGUGGAUGGUUUUGAAGGAGUUGAUGGUUUCGGAAUUGGUUCGAACUCUCGGUGUCUUGUGGAUUUGUGGUUAAUUAGAGAUUGAUGGAUUCGUGUAA